rfam:Oryza sativa (indica cultivar-group) chromosome 2, whole genome shotgun sequence.
AAAAAGGCAAACCCUGGGUUUCCGUGUCUAACUUUAACUGUCUGUCUUAUAUGAAAUUUUUUUAUAAUUCGUAUUUUCAUUGUUGUUAGAUGAUAAAACAUGAUUAAUAUUUUAUGUGUGACUUGUCUUUUUAAUUUUUUUCAUAUUUUUUUCAAAUAAGACGGACGGUUAAAUGUUGGGCACGGAAACCACGGUUUGCCUUUUU